CCUACGGGUGGCUGCAGUGGGGAAUAUUGGACAAUGGGGGCAACCCUGAUCCAGCCAUGCCGCGUGUGUGAAGAAGGCCCUCGGGUUGUAAAGCACUUUCAGUGAGGAAGAACGCCUGGUGGUUAAUACCCAUCAGGAAAGACAUCACUCACAGAAGAAGCACCGGCUAACUCCGUGCCAGCAGCCGCGGUAAUACGGAGGGUGCGAGCGUUAAUCGGAAUUACUGGGCGUAAAGUGCGCGUAGGUGGCUUGAUAAGCCGGUUGUGAAAGCCCCGGGCUCAACCUGGGAACGGCAUCCGGAACUGUCAAGCUAGAGUGCAGGAGAGGAAGGUAGAAUUCCCGGUGUAGCGGUGAAAUGCGUAGAGAUCGGGAGGAAUACCAGUGGCGAAGGCGGCCUUCUGGACUGACACUGACACUGAGGUGCGAAAGCGUGGGUAGCAAACAGGAUUAGAUACCCUUGUAGUC
rnacentral:rRNA from 1 species